rnacentral:rRNA from 1 species
CCCGCUGAACUUAAGCAUAUCAAUAAGCGGAGGAAAAGAAACUAACAAGGAUUCCCCUAGUAACGGCGAGUGAAGAGGGAAAAGCUCAAAUUUAAAAUCUGGCAGUCUUCGAUUGUCCGAGUUGUAAUCUAGAGAAGUGUUUUCCGUGCUGGACUGUGUACAAGUUUCCUGGAUACGGAACAUCAUAGAGGGUGAGAAUCCCGUCCUUGACACAGACUCCCAGUGCUUUGUGAUGCGCUCUCGACGAGUCGAGUUGUUUGGGAUUGCAGCUCAAAAUGGGAGGUAAAUUCCUUCUAAAGCUAAAUAUUGGCGAGAGACCGAUAGCGAACAAGUACCGUGAGGGAAAGAUGAAAAGCACUUUGGAAAGAGAGUUAAACAGUACGUGAAAUUGUUAAAAGGGAAACGCUUGAAGUCAGUCACGUCUGCUUGGACUCAGCCUCACUUCGGUUUGGUGCAUUUCCUUGCAGACGGGCCAACGUCCAUGCUGUUCGUCGGAGAAGGGGUGAAAGAAUGUGGCUCUUCCGGGAGUGUUAUAGCUUUCAUUCGCAUACGGGGAACGAUAUGGAGUGGUACAGCAUGCUUCGGUGGUGCUUGUGUUGGCAUAAUGGCUUUAAACGACCCGUCUUGAAACACGG